CUGACGAGCACGCCGCGUGAGUGAGAGGUUUUCGGAUUGUAAAGCUCUGUUGUAAGAGAAGAACGAGUGUGAGAGUGGAAAGUUCACACUGUGACGGUAUCUUACCAGAAAGGGACGGCUAACUACGUGCCAGCAGCCGCGGUAAUACGUAGGUCCCGAGCGUUGUCCGGAUUUAUUGGGCGUAAAGCGAGCGCAGGCGGUUAGAUAAGUCUGAAGUUAAAGGCUGUGGCUUAACCAUAGUAGGCUUUGGAAACUGUUUAACUUGAGUGCAAGAGGGGAGAGUGGAAUUCCAUGUGUAGCGGUGAAAUGCGUAGAUAUAUGGAGGAACACCGGUGGCGAAAGCGGCUCUCUGGCUUGUAACUGACGCUGAGGCUCGAAAGCGUGGGGAGCAAACA
rnacentral:rRNA from 1 species